rnacentral:rRNA from 1 species
AUGUGGGCUGCAAAAGCAUCAAGAUGGGGGUCUAGGUGGGUAGUGAGGGAUGGCAAGAAAAUCAGGUUCUGGGAAGACUCAUGGUUUGGCUCAUCCCCGCUUGCUAUCCAAUUCUGGGACCUUUACUGUAUAUGUAGAAAGCAGUGUAGCACCAUUGAUCAAGUGUGGGAUGGACAAACACUUAUGAUUUUCUUUUGA